ACCGGUUGGGGUGAGAGAAGGAAAACAGGAUAAAAGACAUGCUGUGGAAGAGAGACAGAGAUUAAUAACAGUGAUAUGGCAAGACAUGUGAGGGGUAACAUGGAGGUCACAGGGCUCGAUAUGAGACUGAUGGUGAUGGCACUGUUUCUGCUCAUGGCUGAAGAUCAGAAAUGUUGCCAUGCUCAGAAAACAGAAGGAGUUUAUCUUCAUGUUCAUCCUAAUAGACUGCAGUUCUUUGAAUAUGACCACAUCUCAUUCAACUGCUCGGGGUUUGAUGGUCCAGCAGAAUGGAGAGUGAUCAAAAAGCUUGGCUUAAAUUCUACUCAGUGGGAAACAUCAACAAGAACCUUGUACAUUAAACCUGCCUUUAAGUCACACAGUGGAGAAUACUGGUGUGAAAAUGAAGACGGAGAGAAAAGCAGGAAUGUCAGCAUCACUGUCACUAG
ensembl:lncRNA